GUGCUUGUUUGGCAUCAAAUAUACUAAAAUUGGAACAAUACAGAGAAGAUUAGCCUGGCCCCUGCACAAGGAUUACAUGCAAAUUCGUGAAGGGUUCCAUAUUUUU
ensembl:snRNA U6 U6 spliceosomal RNA